rnacentral:antisense_RNA from 1 species
CCUCCCCGCUCCGGCGGCGGCAGAGCGCUCGAGGCAAGCCCGGGCAGGGGGACGAGCUGCAGGUGACGCCCUUGUUGGCUGGAGCGUGCCAGGCCUUCCCCCUAUGGCGCCUGCGCACAGCCAGGGCGUGGAUUCAACCUUCCGCGGUGCCCUGCCUCUAGCUGACGUCAGCACCGUGGUGACUGCUGCACCUUUCCCGCGCGCUUUGAGCCCCCGCCCCCCGCCUUCUUACCGGCCGCCCUGAGGGGUCUCGGCGCGCUCGGCUGAAAGCUUUAGGAGGCGCGAGCGAGCACUCCGACUAGGCCGGAGGGACUCGGAAAGUGAUGGGCCGGCAGGUGGUGGGUCCUGACCCAAGGGCCUGCAGGGAACGGAGAAGGGCAACCGAGCACGCGCUGAAUCUUGGGGAAGAAGAGGAAAGGGGCUGCCGGAAGACGCGCGCAUGCGCCGUGCGGUCCUUCGCCCCGGGCGCCCUGGCAGGGGGCGAGGCUCUGCGGAACUCCCGGAGCUGGCGCCAGGGAACAAGUCUCAGUGGAGAGCCUCGAAUUUUACAAGUCUCGUUUAAGUCUUUUGGUUUUCCUUGUAUAAAUAUAGCUAACUUUUAAACAUU